UCCCGCCUGUUUGGAGGAGAGGGGGCGAGAAGCCAGCCAGUGUGAGGACGUGGGGACACCGUGUGCCGCCAGCGGGAGGCUGGUGGGUGUUCCCUAGUCUGAACCAAGCGGGUCCCCAAACUGGUGGGCGGGGCCAGACAGACCCAAUAUCACCCAAAAUGGACGUGUUGUUUUUCUAUUGCUGCCCACAGACUUUUAUUUAUAAUCUGUGCUGUUUUACAAAGCAGCUCUCAUAGACACCUACUCAGGGACACGAACGAGAAAAGUUCCUUCGACUUCAGCGUUGCCACAGAGACCCUUCUGAAUCACUUUCAGGUCUUUGUACAAGCUCCUGGUCUUUGUCUUCCCACUAGCUAAGGAGCUCUGAGGCCCUGUCCUUUUCCCCUCCACAUGCUUUCCUCGACAGUCACUUCCCCUAAGUUUUAGCCUCAGCCAGUGCUUUUAUCAGAAAGUCUCGCAAGACCAUGUUUCGGUCCCUAAAAGAAGCUUUGUACCAGUUUUCUGCUCCCAGCCCCCAGUGGACCUCUCCAGCUGUUUGUCUUUCCAUCACUCCACUACGUUCAAAUCUGGACACCUCACCCUUUCUCAGAGUUCUCUUCCUAAGCCGUCCCUUCCCAUCAGUUCUUCCACAAGUCCUUUGCCAGCUGGAAACCCUAGAAACCUCCCCCUUUUCUGGGCUUCCUGCCUCAUGCUUACACGGCCAAGCCACUUCACAGAUGCCGGACGCCUGCACAGGGAAGCCACCGAGUCAGGCCUCGGGGACACAGUCAGUGUGUAUUAGGCCCAGCCAUGGUGUCACGAGUGGUCGGGAUGCCACCCUGCGAUCCUGGAGCCAUCUGAAGACCUGGGUUUGGAUUCUGGGUGACCCGGUGAACCAGGGGCAUAGGUGACUGGCUGGCUGGGAGGCCAGGGGAAGGAGUGUGGUGCGAUGAGACCCUGACAAAGCACCUGUCCCCUUCUCCCUACCUUCA